rnacentral:rRNA from 1 species
AUUGAACGCUGGCGGCAGGCCUAACACAUGCAAGUCGAGCGAGCGGCGGACGGGUGAGUAAUGUAUGGGGACUGCCCGAUAGAGGGGGAUAACUACUGGAAACUGUGGCUAAUACCGCAUACUAGCGGAUAACCCAGAUGGGAUUAGCUAGUAGGUGGGGUAAAGGCUCACCUAGGCGACGAUCUCUACCUGGUCUGAGAGGAUGAUCCGCCACCCGGGGACUGAGAAACGGCCCAGACUCCGAGGGAGGCAGCAGUGGGGAAUAUUGCACAAUGGGAGAAAGCCUGAUGCAGCAAUGCCGCGGGUAGGAAGAAGGCCUUAGGGUUGUAAAGUACUUUCAGCGGGGAGGCGUUACCCGCAGAAGAAGCACCGGCUAACUCCGUGCCAGCCGCCGCGGGAUUC